rnacentral:lncRNA from 1 species
CACUCACCUAGCAUGCAUGAGGCACUGGGUCAAUCCUCAGUACCAUAUAAAAUAAAAUAGAGCAAGGGAUGUAGCUCAGUAGUAAGAGUACUUUCCUGCUUGCACAUCCAGUGCUGCCAGAAAAAAAAAAAAAAGGAGGAACUUUAUAACAAUAAAUAUAUAUAUGUGUGCACACAUCUGCAUAUAUACAGAAAAAUGCACAAGUCAUUUUCACAAGGUGAGCACACACAUGUAACUACCACCCAAAUCAAGAGAUCAAGAUAUAAAAUAUAACCAGAAGCUUCAAAAUUUGCUUCAUUCUCCUCCCACACACUAUUUCAAUUCCUGUGAAUAAUCACUCCUCUGACUUCCAAUUCCAAAGGUAUGGUUUUUGCCUUUUUUUUAAGUUUAUGUAAAUGGACUUAUGUAAUAUGCAUGCCUUUGUGUCUGGUGUCUUCCACCUAACAUAUAUUUAGCAACUGCUUAUUUUCAUUGCACUAUAGUAUUUCAUUAUGUAGUUAUAACCCAAUUCAUCAAAUUUUUUUUAAGGAAAACUGUGGGUUAAAAAUGAUUACUUGACAUUCCAGAAUUUCUCAGAGCCUUUAGCCUACUAACAACUGACUGUAAUUCUUAAAACUAAGUUAGCACAUCCAAGGGUUCCCAAAUGUAUUUGAACACGAAACUUUUUUUUCUUCUGCAUCUUAUUAGACUAAUAUUUUUGCAGGACGUGCUUCAAGAAAACCUGGCCUGGACCAAGGAUUUUCAAACUGCAUUCCUCAAAGCUCUAGGGUCCCAAUACUGCAUGAGGGAUGAAAGGAAGGCCAACUGGAUCUCCCCUUUGGCUUCAACCUGUCACCUCCACUUUAAUCUGUUUAUGAAAAGGUUCCACAUGGUGUAAAUGCAUAUAUGUAUAUGCAUACCUAUGUAUUACCUGUAUGGAUAUGUAUACAAGUAACUGCACUUAGGCCUAUAUUUGAAAAAACAAGUUUGGUUGCUUUAAAAAAUGCUUUUGAAAACUACCAGUUUAGGCCAGAUGUAGUGGCAUAUACCUGUAUUCCCAGAGAUUGAGAGGCUGAGGCUGGAGGAUUGCAAAUUUAAGGCCAGUUUCAGCAAUUCAUCAAGGCCCCAAGCAAUUAGCAAGACCCUGUCUCAAAAUAAAUGAUUAAAAAGAGCUGAGGAUAUAGCUUAGUGGGAAAGUACCUGUGGGUUCAACCUCUGUACCAAAACAAAACAAAACAAAAACAAAAACAAAACUUGCCGGGCUGGGGAUGUGGCUCAAGCGGUAGUGAGCUCACCUGGCAUGCGUGCGGCCUGGGUUCGAUCCUCAGCACCACAUACAAACAAAGAUGUUGUGUCCGCCGAAAACUAAAAAAUAAAUAUUAAAAAAUUAAAAAAAAAAAAAACUUGCCAACCUAGGCUCUAGAGGACCUCUCAGGUUCUAUACUCUAAGGGCUUGCUGACCUUAUCCAAAAUUUCAUUGUUUUUGUAACUGUUGUCUUUUAAGUAUCUGUCAAAGGGUUGUCCACUUGCUCUGAUAUUCCCAGUGGUGGUGUGGAAACAUCUCAAAAAGGGAUCAUUGACAAGCAUCUCAACAGAGAUCAGGCAGCUUAGUCCACAAGCACUUUUUGUCUAUGGAAUCAGAGGCUGAAAAUAGAUUAUUACAUGUCACCAGAGUUUUAAAUUGCCUUUUAACCAGGCAGUGUUGGGUGGGGAUUAAGAGUAUGGAUUCCAGAACCAAAGCCACUGGCUUCAACUCCUGGCUCUGCUGCUAACUAGCUGUGACCUUGGACAAGUUUCUUAACACCCUCAUGUCUUAGUUUGCUCAUCUUCAAAAUGGAAGUGAAGAUAAUAAUAAAUAUUGGUUUAAUAAAAGCAAAGUGAAA